GAUGAAGAACGCAGCGAAAUGCGAUACGUAAUGUGAAUUGCAGAUCUCUCAGUGAACCAUCGAAUCUUUGAACGCACAUUGCGCCCUUCGGUAUUCCGUCGGGCAUGCCUGUUCGAGCGUCGAAAUAACCUUCAAGCCUCGCUUGGCCUUGGGCGCCUGUUCGCGCCUCCGUGCGUGCGACUCGCCUCAAAUCCAUUGGCAGCCGGCGGGUCGGCUUCGCGCGCAGCACAUACGCGCGGCGAUGCCAGCCCGUCGCCUCCCCCACAAAGACGCAUUAUCAGUCUGACCUCGGAUCAGGUAGGGAUACCCGCUGAACUUAAGCAUAUCAAUAAGCGGAGGA
rnacentral:misc_RNA from 1 species